rnacentral:rRNA from 1 species
UACGUAGGGUGCAAGCGUUGUCCGGAAUUAUUGGGCGUAAAGAGCUCGUAGGCGGUUUGUCGCGUCGGGAGUGAAAUCCACUGGCCUAACUGGUGGCUUGCUUUCGAUACGGGCAGACUGGAGGUAUGCAGGGGAGAACGGAAUUCCUGGUGUAGCGGUGAAAUGCGCAGAUAUCAGGAGGAACACCGGUGGCGAAGGCGGUUCUCUGGGCAUGUCCUGACGCUGAGGAGCGAAAGUGUGGGGAGCGAACAGG